rnacentral:rRNA from 1 species
UACGAAGGGUGCAAGCGUUAAUCGGAAUUACUGGGCGUAAAGGGUGCGUAGGCGGUUCGUUAAGUCUGUCGUGAAAUCCCCGGGCUCAACCUGGGAAUGGCGAUGGAUACUGGCGAGCUAGAGUGUGUCAGAGGAUGGUGGAAUUCCGAGUGUAGAGGUGAAAUUCGUAGAUAUUCGGAAGAACAUCAGUGGCGAAGGCGGCCAUCUGGGACAACACUGACGCUGAAGCACGAAAGCGUGGGGAGCAAACAGG